GACCUGUUCGGUGGCCGCCGGGAGAGCUGCGUCCGCUGCAGCCGACGGCGCGUCGGUCGCUGGCUCCGACUCCGCCUUGGGCUCCUCGGUAGCCUUAGAGUCCUGCUUCUGGUCUACUGCAUUCUGCUGCUGCUGCUGCACAGCGGUCACUUGGGGGAAAAAAUCGACAGUGUGCUGACCGGUUAAGAGAGAGACUCGAGUGGUGGCUGUCAACGUCGGGCUCAAGCAGUGAGAAGGCGAGGCGGAGACACCUUGUGGCUGUAAAGUGCCACUCAUCACUUCUUGUGGAGGUAAACGUCAGCAGUCCCAAUCGAUAUCCCACAAAGGCUGGGAGCUGAAAAGGAAUCAAGAUGAUUGACUGUGACUCACUGAUGUGGGCUGUCAAUUGACCAACGCAGUUCAAUUAUGGCUACAAGAGGGCAGUGUGGCUCUUCAAAAAGGAUGCCAAACCUGCACAGU